GUCUGUCUUCUUGUUUCAGCACUCAUAAGGUGUUACACCACAGUGAACUUUUAGUGCUGGCUUCCGUCUCAGCAUCUGCUUCCCAGAGAAAUCAAUGAGAAUGAUCUCUUAUCCUAUCAAGGAUCAUUUUACCUCCUUCUCACCAAAUGUUACACAUCAGUGAGCAGCACUGCCUAGGAGAUAACAGGAAGCCGGGUUUCACAGCAGCCAUCCUAACCAACUAAUUCUGUGAUGAUUGAGAGACUGUGAGUGACCCGAUUGGCCAGACCCUUACUGAACCCAACUGACAACUGUGUCCUGAUUAAAGGGGAAUGAAAUUUGUUUUCACAAUCCCAUAUAGACCUAUAAACUUGUCCUGACCUGUCAAGAGUGCCAGUUUUCAAACUGCCAUUAGCAAACCACUGUGAAACCACCCACAAAAGCCUUACAUUUUAGGCUUUUCAUUUUAUGUUUACUAUGAAACAUUAAAGAAUGCAUGAAUAUAGAAAUGGAAAUUGGUCCCUUUUCACCGAUCACAAACUUUGUACCUCAAUUCUUAAAGUCAGGGAUGUUUAACUCAGCCAGCCACCUAGCUAGGGUCUGUAACAAACAGUUGGUUAUUUUUCACCCUUUGUCUACUCAAAAUUAAGAAAGUAAAGACGAUAAAAACAAUAUUCUACAGAAAAAAAAGACAAAUGUUAAAAAAGUAAUAAAAGAGAACUUUCUUUCAUAUUCAUGUGAGAAGGAUAGAUGUUUAGAAAUAAAGAAUAAAAUUUGUGUGAGGGAUGCCUCUUGCAUUUUAAGAAUUAGAAGAGGUGAUUGGUAAAACUGUAGACAUGGACGAGCUGGUUUUCCAAGGCACGGGAUCAGCUACAAGUACAUAGAAAAGGUCCCUCAUAUAAAAACAAU
rnacentral:lncRNA from 1 species